GGAAACAAGUUUUGAAGGGUGUAUAUAUGUAGCAGUAUCCAUGUCGACACCCUCACGACUCCACAACAUUGUUUCGCAUAUCCCUCACACCUCACCGCACCUUCGUAAACCUUCGCAACCUUGCCGGAAAGAUUGACACGUUGCCGGAAGGAACCUGGACAUCAUCGAAAAAAAAAACAUAACACCUCACUGUUUUAUUCUCUCUCUCUCGUUGAUUCACGGCGGCCGGAGUUCACCGGAGUUACAUCGGACUCAAGUCGUCAUCGUUCGGAUAAUCGCUCUUGGUCGUUCCUUGUAUUUCCAAAUCCUUUCCUCGCACGUUAUUAAAAGAAAUCGCUACGCAACCAAUUCUACAUAUCCCAAAGGAACCUUGAUGGAGAGUUUAGAGGUUAUUCAAGGAUCAAAUCAUGGCUGAAGAAUUCUACAAUACGUUUUUCAAUGCGUUCACAUCAGAAUCUUCUGA
rnacentral:lncRNA from 1 species